GACGAACGCUGGCGGCGUGCCUAAUACAUGCAAGUAGAACGCAGUUGCGAACGGGUGAGUAACGCGUAGGUAACUGCCUCAUAGCGGGGGAUAACUAUUGGAAACGAUAGCUAAUACCGCAUACUGUGAGAUGGACCUGCGUUGUAUUAGCUAGUUGGUGAGGUAAAGGCUCACCAAGGCGACGAUACAUAGCCGACCUGAGAGGGUGAUCGGCCAAAAUGGGAAUGAGACAAGGCCCAGAAUCCUAAGGGAGGCAGCAGUUGGGAAUCAUCGGAAAUGGGCGGAAGUCUGAACGAGCAAAGCCGCGUGAGAGAAAAAGGGUUUCGGAUCGUAAAGCUAUGUUGAGAGAGAAGCGGUAACUAAACAGAAAGGAACGGCUAACUACGUGCCAGCCGCCGCGGUAAUUC
rnacentral:rRNA from 1 species